rnacentral:snoRNA from 1 species
CCUUCCCCUUUUGAAACUCAGGUGGCGACAUGCAUCACUGUGUGUCGCCACCUGGGUGUCAGAAGGGGGGAAGGAGAAAAGUAGUUGAGUGUCAUCUGCAUAGC